UACGUAGGGGGCAAGCGUUGUCCGGAAUCAUUGGGCGUAAAGAGCGUGUAGGCGGCCCGAUAAGUCCGCCGUGAAAGUCCAGGGCUCAACCCUGGAAUGCCGGUGGAAACUGUCGGGCUGGAGUCCGGAAGAGGCGAGUGGAAUUCCUGGUGUAGCGGUGGAAUGCGCAGAUAUCAGGAGGAACACCGAUGGCGAAGGCAGCUCGCUGGGACGGUACUGACGCUGAGGCGCGAAAGCGUGGGGAGCGAACAGG
rnacentral:rRNA from 1 species